rnacentral:rRNA from 1 species
AGCAGCCGCGGUAAUUCCAGCUCCAAUAGCGUAUAUUAAAGUUGUUGCAGUUAAAAAGCUCGUAGUUGAAUUUCGGGGUCGGUAGAUUGGUCGUGCCUCUGGUAUGCACUGGUCUUACUGGCUCCUCCUUCCUGAUGAACCGUAAUGCCAUUAAUUUGGUGUUGCGGGGAGACUGGACUGUUACUUUGAAAAAAUUAGAGUGUUUAAAGCAGGCUAACGCUUGAAUACAUUAGCAUGGAAUAAUGAAAUAGGACGUUCGAUCUUAUUUUGUUGGUUUCUAAGAUUGACGUA